UACGAAGGGGGCUAGCGUUGCUCGGAAUCACUGGGCGUAAAGCGCACGUAGGCGGAUUUGUUAGUCAGGGGUGAAAUCCCGGGGCUCAACCUCGGAACUGCCUUUGAUACUGCAAAUCUCGAGUCCGAUAGAGGUGGGUGGAAUUCCUAGUGUAGAGGUGAAAUUCGUAGAUAUUAGGAAGAACACCGAUGGCGAAGGCGGCCCACUGGAUCGGUACUGACGCUGAGGUGCGAAAGCGUGGGGAGCAAACAGG
rnacentral:rRNA from 1 species